CAGCCGCCACGGUAAUACGUAGGGUGCAAGCGUUAAUCGGAAUUACUGGGCGUAAAGCGUGCGCAGGCGGUUAUAUAAGACAGAUGUGAAAUCCCCGGGCUCAACCUGGGAACUGCAUUUGUGACUGUAUAGCUAGAGUACGGCAGAGGGGGAUGGAAUUCCGUGUGUAGCAGUGAAAUGCGUAGAUAUGCGGAGGAACACCGAUGGCGAAGGCAAUCCCCUGGGCCUGUACUGACGCUCAUGCACGAAAGCGUGGGGAGCAAACAGGAUUAGAUACCCCCGUAGUCCCUGUCUCUUAUAC
rnacentral:rRNA from 1 species